GGGAAUCUGAGGCUUUGGCAAGGAGGCACAGGCGGUUCCUUGGAAUCAAGAAUGACUUGCGCAAAGAGCAUUGAUGUCAUAUUUCCAGUGCCUUGGGGUAGAUACUCUGUUUGUACAUCCUGGUGGAAGGGAAGUCAUUGAUGAAGCAGCUAAAGAUUGUUGGACUCAGGACACUGCUGUAUGGAACUCCUGCAGUGAUAUCAUAGGCCUGGAAUGAUCGACCUCCAACAAUUACAACCAUCUUCUUUGUGCGAGUUCUGGAAUGUUGGCCUUCCUUGCGAGGAGAAUGGAGUAUAAAAGUAGUCAGGUUCUGGUACAACUGUACAGGUCAUGAAUGAGAUGGACUAUGACUUUACGAUCUACCUUGUUGUGACCUUGCACCUUAUUGCACUGCACUUUCUCUGUAGCUGUGACACUUUACUCUAUACUGUUAUUGUUUUUGAAAUGUACUACAUCAAUGCACUCUGUACUAACUCAAUGUAAGUGCACUGUGUAAUGAAUUGACCUGUACGAUCAGUUUGUAAGACAAGCUUUACACUGUA